ACUUAAUCAUGUCUUGUUAUUGUUUUUCUCUCUACCCAGAGAAAAGACAAGCUGCAAAAAAAAUCUGCUGCUGCUAAGGAGGAUGAGGAGGAGGAGGAGGAGACACCAGGGAUGUGGUGAGUGGGAUGGAUUAGUUCAUCAAUAAUUUUACAAAUCUGUAGUGUAGAACCAAUGAGGAAAUGCGGUCAUGCAAAAGUGGUGUUAAUUGUGUUUGUUUUUCGCGCAGUCGGCCUCAUAGGUGUUGUUGUCCCUCCUCCAAGCUUGGGGGGGAGAUGGGCCUCCCCGGGUCCCCAAGCUUGACGGACAUCCGUUCAGCCAUGGCCACAUACAACUUCUCAGUGAGUCUCAGUGAGAUCAUGUGGCACGACGCACACACGCAAGAGCGCUUUGAUGCGCUCCAUAAAAAAUUACCACGGGCCAAGCAGAUGAGGGACCUCUUUGUCUGCCUGGCACAGCAGGAGCCCUCAUCCGAUUCCUCCUCCUCCUCCCCCGUUCCUGCUGCUGCUGGCUCCUCCUCCCCCGCUCCUGCUGCUGCUGAAAUAGCAGAAGAGAGUAGGUGGAUUUCAAAUCUUCUGGAUUGGCUUGUGUGCAACAUUGAACAACACCGUCAUCUGGGAACAUGACUUUCGAAGCAAGAGACGAAUGCACCAAAAGCUACACGCGCGUGUCCGCAUGCAUCUUUGGAAUAGAAAACCACGUUCCAUUCACCAUGAAGUAAAAGUUUAGAUAUUUUUUUUAUGGAAAAAACGACAAUCUCGUAAUCACGGUCCUUAUAUAACUCACUUGACAUUUUCUGAAUCUACAGGUCGGACAACAGCGUUUGAGAUUUCCUGACUUUUUCAGAGAUAUAUAUAUAUAGCUAUAAUGACAAGAAAAUAGUCAAAAUAUACACUUAACCUAAUGUAUCCUGAAGACCAAGAGAUACAUCCUUUCAGAAAUUCACGUGAAUGUAAAAGCUCCAAGGUGGAUAGGCAAUCUUCAUAUAUUGUAUUUAUUUUUUAGCUCAAAGCCAAAAAACAGCCAAGAAUGCAUAGGUCCAAUCCCGUAAUAUCCCCUGCAGCACGGGGACUUUAGCUGGUGUAACAGGUGUCGAUCUGCGUUGUGUUCUGGCAAAUGCGUUGGAAGGGUGGAAGGACGGCUGGACAACAAUGGAGGGUUUCUCAUUUAUUGGUAUCUGGAUCUGGAUGAGCCAAAGAAAAUCAUGUCAUCGCAUGUAAACCGUUGUAAACCGUCAUAGCCAGGACCACAUUCCCGCCUAGCAAACAAACAAACGGAUACUCUGACGCACAUAUAGACAAUAAACUCUCAAAAAGUAAAUUUGCAAAGCGUUAGCUGUUAUAACAGUGCUGUAGCAUGUUCAUAUAUAACAUUUACAUUAUCUACGAAACGAUUUAUAAGGUUUGAGAUUUUCUGGAUAUGUCGAAACCCGUCAAUAUAGGGCAGGAUCUGCUGAGUGGUCAGGUCCCAUUGGGAUUUAAUGAAGUGGUCUUUGCCUUUAGCAAACACUGGAACAUCAUAUUCUUGCACUAUUGGUGGAUCUUUGCGUUGCUCUAUGAGCUUCAGGUGUAUCGUGUGGGACCUAAUCGCGAUCUUGAAAGACCCAGAUGCUCCGAUGCCCUUGGUGUGGACCAGGGUUCCCUUUUCCAGCAAGCUUCUGAUGGCGACCUUGAUGCGGGUCCUCUCCACAUCGUAACCAGAGAAACUCCGCUUCGCUCUUUGGAAGCGGACACGGCUUUGACGAUCAGAUCGCCGACACUGGGUCCGACCUUCUUCGCCGGGGAUUUCUUUGCGACGGGUCUUUUGUACAAGCUGGUAAGAUCAAUUCAUCUUAACUGGAUAAAAAUUUAGCCAUAGUUACAUGCAAUCAUUUUUUCUCAAAUUCUUGCCACCACCUUCUUGGGGCUCUUCUUCGCCACCGCCUUCUUGGCCACAACGGGUUUCUUCGACUUCUUGGGGGUAGUAAUUUUCUUCACGGAGGUCUUCUUUGCUGCGGCUUUCUUGGCUUUCUUUGGGGUAGCCUUCUUAACGGUGGCGGCAGGCUUCUUGACAGCAGCCUUCUUGGCUUUAGGGGCAGCAGCCUUCGCCGCUGGCUUCUUCGCAUCCUUGCUGUGGUACUGUUUGUCAUUCACAGCGUGGCCUUACCUUCACAAUGACAAAUUCACAACACAAAUGAAAAGUGUUGCGUUAGACAUUUCAAUAUUCACCAGAGAAAAACACACACAACCGUGAUCUUCGUUCUCUGGGUGACCAGAUUACAUUUGAAACACGUGCAAGGGUCCCAUUGGGAUUUAAUAAAGUGGUCUUUGCCUUUAGCAAACACUGGAACAUCGUAUUCUUGUUCUAUUGGUGGAUCUUUGUGUUGCUCUAUGAGCUUCAGGUGUAUCGUGUUGGACUCGUCUAUUGGUAUGGUGCAUGCCCCGUGGUCGCGUUGAGCUGUUCUCGGCGAUGCGCUGGUGGUCGCACCCGCGGUCGUAUUGCGAUGGUCGGCCGUGAUCUUCGUUCUCUGAGUGACCAGAUUACAUUUGAAACACGUGCAAGGGUCCCAUUGAGCUGUUCUCGGCGAUGCACUGGUGGUCGCACCCGCGGUCGUAUUGCGAUGGUCGGCCGUGAUCUUCGUUCUCUGGGUGACCAGAACACACAAACAAUAAAGAACCCAAACCGGUUAACCCCACUUAACCCUCAUAACACAACAAGUUAUACAAAGACAAUAAAACCCCUUUUCCCCAAACAUUAUGAAUGUUUGGGAAAAAAAUCCUACUUUCUUCUGAGGCACACUUGGUGAGUGGGGCUUCAGUUUGUAAUGUAAACUAGAUUUAUUUUAACACAUUUAUAUAUAUAUAUAUAAAUGUUUCACUCUACUCUCGGCCCAAAAAUGGCUCUACCACUACUUUAAAAAAUUAUUGAUACAUAGAAAAAGUACACAAAAAUUCAAGUAAAGGAAGGUGUACAUCAGUAAUAACAGGUUUUGCAGUCAUAUAGAUAUUCAGAGCUCUGAGAGAAGAUGGGAAACAUGAUGCAUAAGGGCACUUUUCAAUCAACUUAAAAAGAGUGAGGUUACAAAUUUUAACUACAUUUGACAAAGUACUCAUUCUUAACAGACAAUUCAAUUAAACAUUGAGUAAAGUCACUCAUGGCUGCGGCUGCCCACUGUGAACCUUGCACGUAGUAAGUUGGUGUGACAGUGAAGAGUUUGUUUUGUAGCCCUGGCUUGGACACUGCACAGUGUCAAACAGCUCGUGAAAGAUGUACUACUCCGGCACCUGAUAGGUGAUCUUUGGGCCGAGAGUAGGGGGAAAAAUAAUGGACAUUCAUUAUUUUUUUAUAUUUUGAAAUUUAAAAAUUUCAAUUUAUUAUUAUUAUUAUUUUUUUAUUUUUUUUAGUAUUAUUAGUAUUAUUUAUUUUAUUUAUUUUUUCCAAGAUGGCGCCGCCCAUGGCUGCUGUGAAAUUGUUUUAAUCCAUCAGGAAAAGGCUUGCUUAACAAAGCAUGGAACAUGAGAUUUAACUGUCGAAAGAACAAAACUGCCUCGUCAUAUAGCUAGAAUAACUACUGUAUUAAGGAACAGCCUAUAAAAUAAAAAUACACAAGGAUGCACAGAAAACAUGUACCUUUAAAUUGCACUGAUAGGGUUAGGGUUACCCUAGGGUUAUUGCACUUACUUGGUUUGGUGAAGUUGUCUGGUAGUAUAUCGGGUAGUCUGUGUUGGCUCCAAGUUCUAACAUGCAUGCACAAAUAAAUGAAAAUUAGUGUUCAAUGCUCAAGAGUAUCAAAGUGUGUAUGGGGCAGUAAAAGACUGCUCUCUAAGCAUUCACUGGGUCAAAUUGUUUGGGUUAGGGUUUUUAUUUUUUUUGUGUUUUUGUUAUAUAUAUUUAAUCAUGUUGUGUUUUAGUUAUAUAUAUUUAUUCAUGUUGUGUUUCAGUUAUAUAUAUUUAUUCAUGUUCUGUGUUUGAAACGUUUCAAUAAAAAAA
ensembl:lncRNA